AGAUACACAUCAGUUUACCUGGUAAGUUGUUCCAUUGUAUAUACAUACAGGAACAGUGGUAGGAAUAGUGAUAGGAAUAGUGAUAGGAAUAGUAGUAGUACGGCCAGUAGUAGGACCAGUAGCAGGACCAGUAGUAAGACCAGUAGUAGGACCAGUAGUAGGACCAGUAGUAGAACCAGUUGUCGGACCAGCAGUAGGACCAGUAGUAGGACCAGUGGUAGGACCAAUAGGGGGACCAGUAGUGGGACCAGUAGUAGGACCAGUAGUAGGACCCGUAGUAAGACCAGUGGUGGGACCAGUAGCAGGACCAGUAGUAGGACCAGUAGUAGGACCAGUAGUAUGACCAGUAGUAGGACCAGUAGUAGGACCGGUAGUAGGACCCGUAGUAAGACCAAUGGUAGGACCAGUAGUAGGACCAGUAGUAGGACCAGUAGUAAGACCAGUAGUAGGACCAGUGGUAGGACCAGUACCGGGACCAGUAGCGGGACCAGUAGUAGGACCAGUAGUAGGACCAGUAGUAGGACCAG
rnacentral:lncRNA from 1 species